rnacentral:tRNA from 1 species
GCACUGGGGGUUCAGUAGUGGAAUUCUCACCUCCCAUGUGGGAGACCUAGGUUCAAUUCUGAGUCAAUGCA